rnacentral:rRNA from 1 species
AACGAACGCUGGCGGCAUGCCUAACACAUGCAAGUCGAACGAGACCUUCGGGUCUAGUGGCGCACGGGUGCGUAACGCGUGGGAACCUGCCUUUAGGUUCGGAAUAACUCAGAGAAAUUUGAGCUAAUACCGGAUGAUGUCUUCGGACCAAAGAUUUAUCUCCUUUAGAUGGGCCCGCGUUGGAUUAGCUAGUUGGUGGGGUAAAGGCCUACCAAGGCGACGAUCCAUAGCUGGUCUGAGAGGAUGAUCAGCCACACUGGGACUGAGACACGGCCCAGACUCCUACGGGAGGCAGCAGUGGGGAAUAUUGGACAAUGGGCGAAAGCCUGAUCCAGCAAUGCCGCGUGAGUGAUGAAGGCCUUAGGGUUGUAAAGCUCUUUUACCCGAGAUGAUAAUGACAGUAUCGGGAGAAUAAGCUCCGGCUAACUCCGUG